CUGUUUCAGGAAAUUGCAAAUAUUUUUGAUAAAAACAAUUGGAAUUCUGUUCUGGUAGUUGACAGUGAACCAAAUGAAAAUCUUCGGCAUGCCGUUGAAUCUUUUGGGAAAGCAGAAAUGCACAACACAAUUAGUCUGAAUGUUUACAGCAUUCUUAAUCAUGAUAAAAUUGUUCUGUCACUAAAUGCUAUUGAACAAUUGGAAGAGCGACUAUGUAAAGAUAAUCGACCUAUUUGGAGAUGACAUCGUUACAAAUAUUUUGUCUGUCAACUGUUGUUAAAAAACAUUGCCCCGAAUGAGAAUUUCCACGGAAAGAACUUACUUCUGUAAGAGGAGCCGGUAAAUGGCUGUAAUCCAGCAAUUUGAGAGUGUCUCUGCUUUUAUGAUGACAUGAAAGAAUCUACUUGUAAAACGUUAAUGAUUUGUAAUAUUAUAAUUUGUUGUUGCUCUUCAGCAUAUUAAUGUUACCACUGAAGUAGCAAUACAUAACCUGUUGUGACUCGUGAUACUUCAAUUACUUAACUAAAUCAAGUAUAUGGGAGGUAAUAUUGGUACAAGAAA